rnacentral:rRNA from 1 species
ACGGAAGGCAGCAGUGGGGAAUAUUGGGCAAUGGGCGGAAGCCUGACCCAGCGACGCCGCGUGAGGGAAGAAGGUCUUCGGAUUGUAAACCUCUUUCAGCGGGGAAGAAGCAAGUGACGGUACCUGCAGAAGAAGUCACGGCUAACUACGUGCCAGCAGCCGCGGUAAUACAUAGGUGGCGAGCGUUAUCCGGAAUUACUGGGUGUAAAGGGUGUGUAGGCGGAGAAGCAAGUCAGGCGUGAAAUUUAUGGGCUCAACCCAUAAACUGCGCUUGAAACUGUUUCCCUUGAGAGUGGGAGAGGUAAACGGAAUUCCUGGUGUAGUAGUGAAAUGCGUAGAUAUCAGGAGGAACACCGGUGGCGAAGGCGGUUUACUGGACCACAACUGACGCUGAGACACGAAAGCGUGGGGAGCAAACAGGAUUAGAUACCCUGGUA